GAUGAACGCUGGCGGCGUGCUUAACACAUGCAAGUCGAACGGAAAGGCCCUGCUUUUGUUGGUUGCUCGAUUGGCGCACGGGUGAGUAACACGUGUGUAACCUCCCCUUGACUUUGGGAUAACUUCAGGGAAAUGGGGCUAAUACACGAUAUGAUCUCUUGCUCCAUGGGGGGGGUUGGAAAGUUUCGGCCGUUGGGGCUGGACUCGCUGCUUAUCCGCUUGUUGGUGUGGUAGGUGCGUACGAAGGCUUUGAAGGGUAGCCGGCCUGAGAGGGUGACCGGCGACAUUGGGCCUGAGAUACGCCGCAGACUCGUACGGGACGCAGCAGGCGGGAAUAUUGCACAGUGACCGGAAGCCUGAUGCAGAAACGCCGCGUGCGUGAUGAUGGCUUACGGGGUGUAAACAGAUUUCGAAGGUGAUGAAGAGGGAGUGACGGUAACGGGUCAAGAAGCAACGGCUAACUACGUG
rnacentral:rRNA from 1 species